rnacentral:rRNA from 1 species
GGUUUGAUCAUGGCUCAGAUUGAACGCUGGCGGGAUGCUUUACACAUGCAAGUCGAACGGCAGCACGGACUUCGGUCUGGUGGCGAGUGGCGAACGGGUGAGUAAUGUAUCGGAACGUGCCUAGUAGCGGGGAACUACGCGAAAGCGUAGCUAAUACCGCAGCUACCGCCUCUUCGGGGGAAAGCGGGGACCUCGGGCCUCGCAAUUAUUAGAGCGGCCGAUAUCGGAUUAGCUAGUUGGUGGGGUAACGGCUCACCAAGGCGACGAUCCGUAGCUGGUUUGAGAGGACGACCAGCCACACUGGGACUGAGACACGGCCCACCCCUACGGGAGGCAAGGCGGGGAAUUUUGGACAAUGGGGAAACCCUGAUCCAGCCAUCCCGCGUGUGCGAUGAAGGCCUUCGGGUUAAAGCACUUUUUUAUAGUGAAGGAACGGCACGAUAAUACCCCGUGCAACUGAUUUGGUACCUGCAGAAUAAGCACCGGCUAACUACGUGCCAGCAGCCGCGGUAAUACGUAGGCGUAAGCGUUAAUCGGAAUUACUGGGCGUAAAGCGUGCGCAGGCGGUUCGGAAAGAAAGAUGUGAAAUCCCAGAGCUUAACUUUGGAACUGCAUUUUUAACUACCGAGCUAGAGUGUGUCGAGGAGGUGGAAUUCCCGCGUGUAGCAGUGAAAUGCGUAGAUAUGCGGAGGAACACGAUGGCGAAGGCAGCCUCCUGGGAUAACACUGACGCUCAAGUGCACGAAAGCGUGGGGAGCAAACAGGAUUAGAUACUCCUGGUAGUCCACGCCCUAAACGAUGUCAACUAUUGUUGGGGCCUUCGGGCCUUGCAGCGCAGCUAACGCGCAGUUGACCGCUCAGAGUACGGUCGCAAGAUUAAAACUCAAAGGAAUUUGACGGGGACCCGCACAGCGGUGGGUGAUGUGGAUUAAUCUACGCAACGCGAAAAACCUUACCUACCCUUGACAUGUCUGGAAUCCCGAAGAGAUUUGGGAGUGCUCUCAAGAGAACCGGAACACAGGUGCUGCAUGGCUGUCGUCAGCUCGUGUCGUGAGAUGUUGGGUUAAGUCCCAGCAACGAGCGCAACCCUUUGUCAUUAGUUGCUACGAAAGGGCACUCUAAUGAGACUGCCGGUGACAAACCGGAGGAAGGUGGGGAUGACGUCAAGUCCUCGUGGCCCUUAUGGGUAGGGCUUCACACGUCAUACAAUGGUCGGGACAGAGGGUCGCCAACCCGCGAGGGGGAGCCAAUCCCAGAAACCCGAUCGUAGUCCGGAUCGUAGUCUGCAACUCGACUGCGUGAAGUCGGAAUCGCUAGUAAUCGCGGAUCAGCAUGUCGCGGUGAAUACGUUCCCGGGUCUUGUACACACCGCCCGUCACACCAUGGGAGUGGGUUUUACCAGAAGUAGUUAGUCUAACCCGUAAGGAGGGCGAUUACCACGGUAGGAUUCAUGACUGGGGUGAAGUCGUAACAAGGUAG